CGGCGAGUGGCGAACGGGUGAGUAAUACAUCGGAACGUGUCCUGGAGUGGGGGAUAGCCCGGCGAAAGCCGGAUUAAUACCGCAUACGAUCUGAGGAUGAAAGCGGGGGACCUUCGGGCCUCGCGCUCAAGGAGCGGCCGAUGGCGGAUUAGCUGGUUGGUGGGGUAAAGGCCUACCAAGGCGACGAUCCGUAGCUGGUCUGAGAGGACGACCAGCCACACUGGGACUGAGACACGGCCCAG
rnacentral:rRNA from 1 species